UAGUGUUAGUUGGAAGAAUAGCAUUCCCUCUUAUACAUAUGUAACAAUUGAGGAGCGCUUUUUUGAUUUUAUCGAGAUAUCUUUGAUUGUAAAAGAGUCUCAGAGCAAGUUUAGCAACAUAAAUUAGCAGACGACGAUAAUAGCCAGUCUGUUUACAGGAAACGUCAGGCUGGGCUGCAUUAUUUUUAAUCAAUUUACGUUCUUAUUACAUAUUCCAUUAUUCCUGGUACCGUUUCUGAUUUAAAUGUUACGUCUAGUUCAAUUAGUCCAUUGCCGAGACUAUUACCUGAGCAUGUUUCUGAUUUCGUCCCCCAAUCUUUACUUUUUUGGAUCAUUUUGACGACUCAAAUUAGUACAUGCUCGUACUACGAAAAAGAAUGAGUCGAAUUGGUAUCGAAAAGCUAAAGAUCCUGUAUUCCAGUUUCUCCUGUGCACACCUCGAGCAGAGCAACAACAAAGUCAACACAUAGGUCUCAAGGAAUUUAAAAAAAAAAAACCUUGCUUAACCACAAGUUGCCACUUAAGCGUAAUAGAAGUCUGUAUAGAAAGCUAGCUGAAACAGGUUGACGGAACUAUUUCAAUCAUGAAAUAGUGUAGAAAAAUGUCUCAAUCAAACAAACCAGAAUGUUGAAACAUGAGGGUGAAGAAGGGAAUAUAAGUCAGGAAUUACUCGCUUAUCCUGUUUUGUUGGUGAGCUGGUGAAAAGCACACUUGAUUAUCGUCUCUACAUUUAGUCAUCCCAAACUUCUCAAACUUGAACGCUGUGAUCUUAUUGAAGAUGUAAAAAACUUUAACAUUCAUUUUUUAGGGGAAAGAAGAAUUCACACAAAAUGUGUUCUAUAGGUCAUGUGAUUGGUGAUGAAACUGAUGACAAAUUGUUACAAUACUCUGGCGUUCCAUUGGGUGUAGCUUGCACUCUAGUUUGCGUGGUACAACCCAACAGAUCCUUGAUGAAGCUGAAUUUGUGUUUUACAGUCGACUUUUAAGAAAAUAAGCAAUGUCUUCGGCAACGAUUGUAAAGAAGUAGGCCCUACUGAUGGACCAUGACAGUAUAUACUUUGACUGCCAAGACUCCUAACAAAGAAUGAAUGGGGCUAUAGAGAAUUUCACUGCCCGCGCUAUUCUAUGCAGCUACUCGUCGUGAUUGCCAACAAUUAGGGUUAGGAUUCAGCCCAACUUGUGUCGUCAUAGCUUCGAGCUAAACAUUAAGAAGGAAAAGCCACCUUUGGUCUAAUUCAUCGUAUGAACCCUGGCAAAAUUAAUUAGAUACAGCAGUUGGGAGUCACAAUAUCCUUUUUUGUCAAGCGUCACGUGCUAGUUAAAAGGUUUACC